rnacentral:rRNA from 1 species
AUGAACGCUAGCGGCAGGCCUAACACAUGCAAGUCGAGGGGCAGCACGGUGUAGCAAUACACUGGUGGCGACCGGCGCACGGGUGCGUAACGCGUAUGCAACCUACCCAUAACAGGGGGAUAACACUGAGAAAUUGGUACUAAUACCCCAUAACAUCAGGACCGGCAUCGGUUCUGGUUGAAAACUCCGGUGGUUAUGGAUGGGCAUGCGUUGUAUUAGCUGGUUGGUGAGGUAACGGCUCACCAAGGCAACGAUACAUAGGGGGACUGAGAGGUUAACCCCCCACAUUGGUACUGAGACACGGACCAAACUCCUACGGGAGGCAGCAGUGAGGAAUAUUGGUCAAUGGACGCAAGUCUGAACCAGCCAUGCCGCGUGCAGGAAGACGGCUCUAUGAGUUGUAAACUGCUUUUGUACGAGGGUAAACGCUCUUACGUGUAAGAGCCUGAAAGUAUCGUACGAAUAAGGAUCGGCUAACUCCGUGCCAGCAGCCGCGGUAAUACGGAGGAUCCAAGCGUUAUCCGGAUUUAUUGGGUUUAAAGGGUGCGUAGGCGGUUUGAUAAGUUAGAGGUGAAAUACCGGUGCUUAACACCGGAACUGCCUCUAAUACUGUUGAACUAGAGAGUAGUUGCGGUAGGCGGAAUGUAUGGUGUAGCGGUGAAAUGCUUAGAGAUCAUACAGAACACCGAUUGCGAAGGCAGCUUACCAAACUAUAUCUGACGUUGAGGCACGAAAGCGUGGGGAGCAAACAGGAUUAGAUACCCUGGUAGUCCACGCAGUAAACGAUGAUAACUCGCUGUCGGCGAUACACAGUCGGCGGCUAAGCGAAAGCGAUAAGUUAUCCACCUGGGGAGUACGUUCGCAAGAAUGAAACUCAAAGGAAUUGACGGGGGCCCGCACAAGCGGAGGAACAUGUGGUUUAAUUCGAUGAUACGCGAGGAACCUUACCCGGGCUUGAAAGUUACUGACGAUUCUGGAAACAGGAUUUCCCUUCGGGGCAGGAAACUAGGUGCUGCAUGGUUGUCGUCAGCUCGUGUCGUGAGAUGUUGGGUUAAGUCCCGCAACGAGCGCAACCCUUGCUAUUAGUUGCUACGCAAGAGCACUCUAAUAGGACUGCCGUUGACAAAACGGAGGAAGGUGGGGACGACGUCAAAUCAUCAUGCCCUUUAUGUCUUGGGCUACACACGUACUACAAUGGCUAUAACAAAGAGAAGCGAAGCAGUGAUGUGGAGCAAAACUCAAAAAAGUAGUCUCAGUUCGGAUUGUAGGCUGAAAUUCGCCUACAUGAAGCCGGAAUUGCUAGUAAUGGCAGGUCAGCAUACUGCCGUGAAUACGUUCCCGGGCCUUGUACACACCGCCCGUCACACCAUGAGAGCCGGGGGGACCCGAAGUCGAUAGUCUAACCGCAAGGAGGACGUCGCCGAAGGUAAAACUGGUGAUUGGGGUG